AUGUUUCUCCCGCCUCCACUCACACCCGUCGUCCACUCGCACCUCGCUCCACUCACACCCAACAUCCGAGGUCAAGCUUUGAUGUGCCUGCUCUGGAUCUGGCGACGGAGGCGGUGGAUGCGGGAGAUGGGGAGGAGGCCAUCGCGGUGGUGUGCCUGGACCACAUCCUCAAGCACGCCAGUGGCGCCACGGAGGAGGCCGAGCGCAUCCGCCACUGCCACAACACCGACGGCUCCAUGGAGUACUGGCUCGAGCCGGACGAGCUCGCGGCCCUGCGCCGGGAGGUCGGCGCCGACCCGUACUGGGUGCCGCCAGGGUGGAAGCGCGGAGACCCCGUGUCCGCUGAUUGCUACGCGCUCAAUGCAAAGAUGCAGGUGGAGGAGCACAGCAAGGAGCUCGCCGGAGUAA
rnacentral:rRNA from 1 species